rnacentral:rRNA from 1 species
GGGAUGACACAGUAGGAUAAGCUAAGCACACUGUUGGUUAUGUGUGCCCAAGCAUUGAGGCAGUCAAAGUAGGCAAAUCCGCUUUGAUAAUGCUGGGAUGUGAUGGGGAGCGAAAUUUAGUAGCGAAGUAGCUGAUUUCACACUGUCAAGAAAAGUCUCUAUCGAGGUUAAAGGUACCCGUACCGCAAACCGACACAGGUGGGUGAGGAGAGUAUCCUAAGGCCAGCGAGAGAACUGUUGUUAAGGAACUCGGCAAAAUGACCCCGUAACUUAGGGAUAAGGGGUGCCACCAUCAGGUGGCCGCAGAGAAUAGGCCCAAGCGACUGUUUACCAAAAACAUAGGUUUCUGCUAAGUCGCAAGACGAUGUAUAGGAGCUGACGCCUGCCCGGUGCUGGAAGGUUAAGGGGAUCUGUUAGAGCAAUCGAAGCAGUGAACUUAAGCCCCAGUAAACGGCGGCCGUAACUAUAACGGUCCUAAGGUAGCGAAAUUCCUUGUCGGGUAAGUUCCGACCCGCACGAAAGGCGUAACGAUUUGGGCACUGUCUCAACAACAGACUCGGUGAAAUUGUAAUUCCGGUGAAGAUGCCGGAUACCUGCGACAGGACGGAAAGACCCCAUGGAGCUUUACUGUAGCUUGACAUUGGGUCUUGGUACUACAUGUACAGGAUAGGUGGGAGGCUUUGAAACCAGGACGCCAGUUUUGGCGGAGCCAUCCUUGGGAUACCACCCUUGUAGUACUGGGACUCUAACCAUAGGCCAUGAAUCUGGUCUUGGGACACUGUCAGGUGGGCAGUUUGACU